AGGAAUAUUGGUCAAUGGGCGAGAGCCUGAACCAGCCAAGUAGCGUGAAGGAUGACUGCCCUAUGGGUUGUAAACUUCUUUUAUAAAGGAAUAAAGUCGGGUAUGGAUACCCGUUUGCAUGUACUUUAUGAAUAAGGAUCGGCUAACUCCGUGCCAGCAGCCGCGGUAAUACGGAGGAUCCGAGCGUUAUCCGGAUUUAUUGGGUUUAAAGGGAGCGUAGAUGGAUAUUUAAGUCAGUUGUGAAAGUUUGCGGCUCAACCGUAAAAUUGCAGUUGAUACUGGAUAUCUUGAGUGCAGUUGAGGCAGGCGGAAUUCGUGGUGUAGCGGUGAAAUGCUUAGAUAUCACGAAGAACUCCGAUUGCGAAGGCAGCCUGCUAAGCUGCAACUGACAUUGAGGCUCGAAAGUGUGGGUAUCAAACAGGAUUAGAUACCCUGGUAGUCCACACGGUAAACGAUGAAUACUCGCUGUUUGCGAUAUACUGCAAGCGGCCAAGCGAAAGCGUUAAGUAUUCCACCUGGGGAGUACGCCGGCAACGGUGAAACUCAAAGGAAUUGACGGGGGCCCGCACAAGCGGAGGAACAUGUGGUUUAAUUCGAUGAUACGCGAGGAACCUUACCCGGGCUUAAAUUGCAGAUGAAUUACGGUGAAAGCCGUAAGCCGCAAGGCAUCUGUGAAGGUGCUGCAUGGUUGUCGUCAGCUCGUGCCGUGAGGUGUCGGCUUAAGUGCCAUAACGAGCGCAACCCUUGUUGUCAGUUACUAACAGGUUUUGCUGAGGACUCUGACAAGACUGCCAUCGUAAGAUGUGAGGAAGGUGGGGAUGACGUCAAAUCAGCACGGCCCUUACGUCCGGGGCUACACACGUGUUACAAUGGGGGGUACAGAGGGCCGCUACCACGCGAGUGGAUGCCAAUCCCAAAAACCUCCCUCAGUUCGGACUGGAGUCUGCAACCCGACUCCACGAAGCUGGAUUCGCUAGUAAUCGCGCAUCAGCCACGGCGCGGUGAAUACGUUCCCG
rnacentral:rRNA from 1 species